AGUCUCGCUGUGUUGCCCAGGCUGGAGUGCAGUGGCACGAGUUUGGCUCCCAGGUUCAAGCAGUUCUCCUGCCUCAGACUUCUGAGUAGCCGAGACUACUGGCAUGGACCACCACACUCGGCUAAUUCUUUUCCCUGGUUCUAACAUCAGUGGAAAGGUCUGACUCAUUUUUCACCAGGCUGUAGAUGGUGACCUUCUGUCUACAUAUAAUACAGUUGAAGACAGCUCAGCUUCAUUAUCCAAGUGCUUGGGGAGCAGUGCAGAGGGGAUGAAUUCCCAGGUCAUCCUAGGAAUGGCCAGUCUCUAAAAUAAAAAGGGAACAGAGUCCAUAACUCUUCUAAGAAGAGGAAGCAAAUCAAAGCCUGGAAUUCAAAGCUUUCUUCAGCAGAGUCAACAGACCAGUAAAGAAAGGGAGUCCCUCUGCCUGUGGCAUUGUCCACACUCACAGGGUCCCACACUCUUAUUUGUUCCUACAGAGUAAAACGAGGCUAGAAAUAC